rnacentral:lncRNA from 1 species
AACCAUGUUGCUAUAUAUAAUGUUUGUAUAUGCCAUGUUCCUAAAACUUUUUUAAUAAUUGUAUAAAAUUCAAUAGAUUGCAAUAAGAGAGGUGAUGGAUUUAACAAUUAAUAUUUGCAUUUGAUAAGAAAAGAAAGUCUUUAUUUACUUUUAUGUGAAUAUUAGGAGGUGAUGUUUCAUUAAAACAAUAAUGACACUCUACUAACACAUUCCUUAAGUAAAAAAGAAUGCUAUAUACAUAAUAUAUUAAUCUUU